AACAAUUCAGGGGCAGAUGCUCUCGUAUAGUCUUUUCUCGUUUUGCUGUCAUAUAAACAAAGUCUCUAGCAACGCCUCUGAAAUUUCGUCCAAGCGUAAUCAGCACAGUUGAGAGACCAUGAUAUAAGACAACUAAUCCCCGUGGCNCACGAUGUCGUCCAUGAAAGCUAUUUUUUAGAUUGCGCGAGCUUGUCAAUCAUAGCAUCCAUACAUAGUUCGUCGCACUGUCAGGUUGGGAGUUUGGCUGGGGCGGCACAUCUGUCAAACGAUAACGCAGGUGUCCUAAGGUGAGCUCAAUGAGAACAGAAAUCUCAUGUAGAACAAAAGGGUAAAAGCUCACUUGAUUUUGAUUUUCAGUAUGAAUACAAACUGUGAAAGCAUGGCCUAUCGAUCCUUUAGUCUUGAGGCG
rnacentral:ncRNA from 1 species